GCGGGUGCGGGUGCGGGUCCGGCUGGCCGCCGCAGCCCCGGGCGGCGGGGGCGGCCAGCUGCGGCGCGGUCCUCCGGCCCCCGGUCCGGCGGCGAGCGCUCGCCGGGGGCUCCUGUUGUUAGCGGGGCGAAGCCACCUUGGGCUUCCCGGGAAGGAAGGUUUGUGUGUCCAUUUUGCCCUCUGAAGCGGGUGCUUCCCGAGGGGGCUGUGUGGGAGACAAACAGCUUUUCUCUGUUGAGGGACGGGGAAGCGAAGGGCUGGUGCCGGUGCCGCUCCGGGCACUUCAGUGUUUCCUUGCGAAAUGGGUCGCUCGCUCCGCGAAGUGAAGCCAUGAGAGGGUGGCUGAGGAAGGAUGGCUGGGACGUUGUCUCUCCCUCCUUGCACAUUGGGUGGGAUGUAAUACGUGGCUUUUCAUAAAUACUGGUAGUCUUUAACGUGCUUCACAUUUGAAAGGCACAACCACGUUAUUCCCAUUACUGUUGUCUCAGGCAGCGAGGACAGGAGGAAUUACAGCACUUAGUUCACUUCUUCAGUGGUUGCGCUGUAUUUAUGAGCUCAACAAAUGCUCUGUGGUGGAACAGCUUUCUUGAAAUUGUAAUUUUCCAGAAAGCAGCAAUUGACAUAACCUUUCCAAAGUGCCGAUGGAAAGAGUAGUCAAAAAGAUAUGUAGUUGCCAAUUCAAGUUAUCCAUGGGACCCCGUCUUCUGUAAGAUAUCAGUUAUUAUUAUUUUACUGGCAGAAUUAUCUUCUUCACAACCUAAUAAACCUGUAAACCCUUUCUAAUUUUUCAGGUAACCACUGAGGCAAGAAAUCCUGAAAAGACUGUCACAAAAAAGCUCUGUACUAGUAAAAAGAAAAAUAAUUUCUAAGUUUCAUCAAGUGUUUGAUUAGGCCAUAGGAAAAAAAGCUUUGUGUGUAUCUGUUGAGACACCUUCAUCCUGGCUGAUACUAGGGUUGCUGAUAUUCUUGACUCACUGUCCAUCUUCUGUUGUGCAUAGUGAAGUCUCACCUGGAUGUCUGUUAACAUCCCGUGGCUUUGCAGCAUCCUGGUAGCAGAUUUGAGCCAGCACUUUUGCUAUGUUUAGACUUUUCAGUUACUGUUAUGUUCUGGAAUCAUGCUUCACCUCUGGCUUCAGUUUUUCAUGCAUAUAUUAUUGUCUACUGUACACUAAUCGCAAGGGUGUAACUCUCCCACUCUGAUGCUUCAGUUGCAGUGUUGGUUUUGUUGCAGUGCCUGGCAUAGGUUCAGGACUGAGUAACUCCACACUUUCUAAAAUGGAACUGAAGACUGAAAUCACUGUUGACUGAGUUGGUUGACUCAGACACACGCAACAGUUUUGCAGGUUUGCUGGCAUGAUACAGACAUGUGCUUGUCGUCUUCUCAUAAAUGUCUGGUUUUGUUCCAGAGCUCAGGAGCUGAGUGCAGUGCAGCUCUUGUAAUAAUAAUAAUAUCUGGUAGCUUGAGGUGGCAGAAGGGUUACAUCUUGCAAGCUUUGAACAAAAAGCUCAUCUAUUUCACAGAGGGCAACACAGAGGCUGAGUGGGAGAUGCGAUCUGCUCAAAAAUAUGUGCUCAGCUUUGAGCUUCCACCCAAAUCACAGCUUGACCAGGUACCAGAAUGGGCUGUUGGCAGGACUAGAAUUAAGUAUCCAGGUGUCUGCACCCUGGCUCUGCUGCUGAGCUGCCUUUCUACACACUAGAUUCAGUUUAGUGAGAAUAUCCCUUUGUGUAUAACAGUUUAGGUAGAGAAUAGGAAGUAAUGUCGAGGCCAUGGUCUGUUCUUUGAAAAGUAGGAAAUUAGUAUAUUAAGGCUUUGCUGUUUGAAUAAUUGAUCUGUUUUGUUUGCUUAUAGGCUUCAACUUUUUAAAAAAACCUGGAAAAUGCUAUGCAUUGUGGCUGUUUUAGAUGAUCCCUGCAUAUCCUUCCUAUUUUGAUAUUAACACUGACUUCUGGUCAUACUUUUGCAUUGAUUAAAGAUAAAUAGAUCUUACUGUUUACUUUGAUGCUCCCUUACAGCAGAGGUCCUACAUUGUAUGGCAUGAUGACAGUAGUCUCCAGAAAGUCUGGGAAGAAGCUGAAAAAGCAACAAUUUGCAUAUUGUUUUAAAUAUGAAAUGCUAAGUAAUAGUAUUACCAAAAGCAGAAGCCUAUUACUGCAUGUUUGUUUGCCCUUUUUACUCUGACAAUUUGUUGUGUCUUAAAUCAGGAUCUCUUUGGAGGUAGAACUCGAACUCGUGCAUCUGUACAACACCCUGCCAUUUCCUGUUUUUAUGAGGUCUGGAACUAAAUGUGAAAUUCACAGUGAAUGUGUCAGCUUCAGUCAGUAUGAGGAAGCAGAAAUGCCAGAAAACUGCAAAGGUUUAUGUUUUGAUGCAAUUCAGUGCACCAUGGAAUUUGCUUAUUGUUUUCAUUUGAAUGGCAACUCAGCAUUGGAGGCAAUAAACCAGACAAAACAGAUUAAGUUUAUUCCCACCUGUCUUAAUAGAUGGUCUGAAAGAAGCUAACUGAAGGAUGUACACAAUUGCAUUUCUUUUUAUAGAAGCAGCAAGUCAGCUGGCUUUAUGAAGGUCUGAAGACAGGCUUCAAAUAGAAAAUGUAAUUAAUAUUCUUUCCAUGGCUCCAUUAAAAAACAAAAAAACCUACACAAGCAUGUAAAAAUUUUGAAAAGAGAGUGACCAAGAAAUUAAAUUGUGACAAUAAAACACUAAUAGUGAACUUCACACCUUUUUAGAAAAUAUUUGACGAAAUAUUGUGAUCACCAAAGACAACUGAUUCAAAAGAUGAUGCCAGUUCUAGAUUUUUUUCUUGCUCAUAAUUAUUGUUAACAUAUUAAUAGUGUAGUUCAAGAGGAAAAGCAGUCUGUGUCUGAGCUGUGAAACCAAGAUGGAACUCCCACACUGAUGAUGAUAAAGGAUUUCUAGAAAGGAUUGAGGCUGUUUUCUACAAAACAGUUGUAAAACUCACGUGCUUCAAUGGCAGUCAGAUGGCUCUAAAAUUUUCCUACAAAGCGCAGUGUUUCUAUAAGUCACUGGUAAUUUUGGCUAGCAGUAUGUGCAUACAAUUUAUCUGCAUUUUCAUUGCUUAUCCACUCUUGCAUGUACUACAUCCUGAUCCCUCUCCUUCUGCAAAAUAGUUCUUAAAUACAGAACCGGCCACUUAAAAAUCUCCCCCAGGCCAUUCCUGCAUCACCAGUAACUCAUGAAGGAAGGAUAUAUCUUGGGUUUGGUUUACUUUGCGAAAUGCCAGGAGAAUGAUUUACGGAGUGAGAGUAAUCCGGUUUAUACUACCUACAUAUUGCCUCGUUUUUCGAAUUCCUCCUCCCACACUGGGUGCUCCAGGCAGCUGCUGAGACAGAGGAAGAAGAAGGGAGAACUGGAAUAUGCCUCAGAGUGCAUUCUGCUAAAAUAUAUGUCAACAAUGGGAGGAACUGAGACCCUUAGAGCAGCUUCUUCCAGGUGCUCCUUCAUAUUGGUCUCCCAAGUCCACAGAAUUCUGCAGGACAGCUCCGUAUCUGGCGACAGAAUUGAAAUCACUUAAUGGGCUACCGUUGCCUCCAUAGUUUCCCUAUCAUAUUUCAUUAGUUUUGCCCUUUCUUCACUUUUCUGUCUCUCUCUGGGCUAUGUGUGUCCACGGUUUCUCAAUAAGAAGUGCAGCUGAUUUACUUCCUAACUUGUCCCAUGGUUCCGAACAUAAUUGUCUCUUGACAAUAUUUAGUAUUGCACAGAGUCCACCCUAUUGUACAAAACAGACAAAUGAGGAGAACAACCACCAAACCCACCCCAAUCUAAUCAAAGCUGAAGAGGAUGAGCUGAAGGGAGUCUGGCUAAUUCUGGAUAGGGGCUACCUUGCAAUAAACAUGUUGGUUAUUAUGGAUCAGGAUCUUACUGUUGUACAUCUACUCACAUAUGUCAGCAAAGACAUUUCUCUGGGCUGAGAUGCUCAUAAAUCAGAGGGUUAAUGACUUCCAUAAUCUCUGGGCCCAACUGUGUGUACCAGGCAGUAAAUGAACGCUUAAUGUGUAAUGCACUGUUUACAUUCAAACCAGUGCCAACCAAUAAUUGUUGGAAAAGUUAUAGAUGAGAAUAUAGUGUUGUAUUUGGGACUGUUGCUCAUCAAUUUUCCAAUUUCCUUUAAAGAUAUUUUACAGAAAAAAUGCAUUAGACCUGGAAAGUAGGACACUGAACUACACGCAUCAUCCCUGCUGCUGGUAGCCUGUGGCAUUAUGGACUCAGUGUGUGUAAUUUUUUUGACUAUGUUUGAUAAUUGAUCCCUUAGUUGCAUCGCAUGUUUUCAUCAGAGUAACCACUUGUGAGAAUGUGUGUGUCUGUCUCAAGGGUGCAUUAUAAAACAGGAUUAAAACCUACAUUCAGGAUUGGGCAUGAACUGGAAAGUACUGUGCAUCAUGCAUGAAGUUUAUAGGGUUUUCUUGUAGUUACUGAGCACAAGAAAGGCUGGAACUCAGCACUCUGUAAUCCUGAAUCCCAAAGUGCUUUUCCUCUGUAGCUGAGUUUGUUCCAUUUUCAUAGAAGUCUUACUUAUUAAAGUAGUCCAGAGACUCAAUAAAUAAUGCUAAUUUAUUUCCAUUAAACAUGUUCUGCUGUCUAACUAUGUAGAAGGCAUAGUAUAAAUAAAUUCAAAAUUCAAAGAUGAAAAAUGUAUGCUUGGAGGGCAAACUAUGAGAAAUUAGCAGGAGCACCCUUGGAUAAUUAUGUUAGUUGCCCUUCAGGAUCAGCAAUGAAACAUGAAUUAUCAACAUUGUCAGUUCAAAAAGGGCAAAAUAUUUGAGAAAAUUUUGUCAUUAAACGAGGAUGAAUGAUUUUCAGCAAGACAAGCUGCUUAUUUCAAAAGCCUAAUGAUUGCAAGCACUACCAAAAUGCAAGAAGUAAUUUGUUAUUGUAAGAAUAUCAGCAGUGUUUAAGGAUCUUUUUAUUGCCCUGAACGCUUCCCCUUUGCAAACCUUUACUGAUUAGGAAUUUAAGAGGUGUUGUACAGACACGUUCGGGUUUUUAUAUACUGAUAAAAUUGCAGCGAAAGAUUCUUAUUUUAAAGUUUAACGGUUUUGUUCAUCUCUUGGAGAAAACAAUUGUAAACCAGAAAAGGAAUCAACAGCCAGUUCUACCACUAACGCCCUUUCAGUACAUGAGGCCAAAGUAAGUUUUAGAAUAACAGUAUUGAAGCCAAAUGAGCAAGACAGUGACCUGACCUCCCUGGGAAAUGAGAGAGGAGCCUGACUGACACUUUCUUAUUUACAAAUACAAAACGCAGUCCUGACUUCCGUUCCUGACAUCAAUGUUCCUGACAUCCGUGGAAGUUUCCUCAGAUUUCGAUAAAAGCAAAACUGGGUUGAGCCCUAUGCCUUCAUUCCUGGAGCCUUGUUCACUUUGAUUAUCUUUAGAAAACCCUGGUGAGGGAAUCUGGGGUCUGUCUCAGUUCUAUGAGGAUUCCCCGGGGGACCUGUGUCAGGCUGCCCUGUGAGUUUGGUCUCUGCCCUCACUUCUCACUGGGCAUGUCCUGCAGUCCUGCAGAGCCUUGGCAAGCAGCAACGAUCAUUCGCUCCGUGGAGAACUGUUUGCACUGGCAGGGGUAAUGCCAUUUCAAUCUUCUUGUCUCUGAGCAGUGAAUCAUUAGCUAAUGCAUCGGAGCCCCUGUGGUGAGUGGCUGUUCCUCAAACUGUCCUGUUUCACAGGAGGGGAAGUCACAGAAAUUCAGUUAUGCAUUUCUGCCCCCACGCUCUGUACCCAAUCUGUAGUUUCUCUCCCGUCAUCUUCUACCAUGGAUUCCCAUACAGCUUCCUCUGGGCACUGUGCCUGGGAGGGCACUGAAGUUACUGCAGUUUGGCAGACUCUUUUCCUUCUGGCUGAUACUUGUCUGUAGCACAGACAGAAUAUGUGGGAUGUGAUAGUGAAGGACAGCCAUGGAGUUUUGAAAGCCAGUAAAAGCAAGAUCCAUUUGUCUCUGCUUUGGUAAGGUAAGGUGUGAAACAUCCUGCAAUUACAAAAUUUAUUUCCUUCUCUCAUACAAAGAGAAGGUGACAGCCAGCUAUCCAUUUGUCUCAGUGAUGAGAUUAAGACUGCUGAACUGCCUUUGUUUCCUCACCUCUGAGACCUCCAGGAAGGCAGUCUGCUCAGCGUCACAUCAGCCCAAUGCCAGUUGUGAGGAAGAAAAUAUUAGCGUAUUUAAAGAAAACUGAAUCAAAAUUAAGUAUGCAAAAGCAAUUAACAUGGUGAAAACAGAGGUUACUAGAGAAUGACUCCACAUCCACUGAUGAAAGGCAAGAGCAAAACAUAUUUAUUUGCCAACUGUCAUUGUUAUUUUGUGUGUGUUGAAGAGAUGGAGCCCUGUGCUAUUUCACCUGAGUAUAUACUGAGAAAGAACCAGCUGAUACUGGUUCUGCUGGCUCUUGCAAUUUCAUCUUUAAGGAAGGGCACAGCUUUUGCCUGUGGCUCCCUGGAAGCACUGUGCACCUCAUGUAUUGGAGAGCAAAAUCCCAGUACGAUUCUAUGCUGCCUGGCCUUCCACUUUGCUGUUGGACUGUACGCAUUGUAUGCCCAUGGCCUUAGGAAUAGCAACAUUCAUCCCCCUGGAAAAUUACUAGUCUUUUCUCCUAUGAAAUAUGAAACACCUUUUUUUUUUGCUUCUGAGGAGCAUCUUCUCAAUAUUUCAUUACUUGCUGGAGUGGGAAUCUGUUCUGUGAACAAAUUUCUUUACUGUCUGAAGAAAUUCUCCAUACAAGUAUCACUUUGGCCUUUACUGGAUUGAACUGUAAUAUUUAUCCAAUGGUUUUAAGGUUGCCUAAAAUUAUCUACCAGCUGCUGGGAAGAUGUUUAGAGCACUGUUAGAAAACUGCGUUAUUAGAGAAUCACAUCACUGGGCGGGGGGAAGAGGGAGAAACAAGCUUUCUGGUAUGCAGUGGGAUAAUUUCAAAGGAGGAUAUUGUAAAGAUGUGAAAUUUAGAAAUGUCAGUGAUCAUUUUACUAUUAUUCCACUUGCAAAAUAUGCUGCUCUUUGUCAAUUGAUGCUUAUGGGAAAAACUGUAAAACUAUAUAUUCCAAAGGAGGUUUUGCCAGACUUUUUGAGACUGAACAUUUUGUUGACCUUUUUCUUUCUGGAAAAAAGAAAAUUAAUGAAGAUAAAGUCUUUUAAAAACACCAAACUAAAUAAGCUUUGAAAAACUGAACAUUAGGUGUAGCUGGCAUUGUUACAGCAUUUGAAACUUAAAUGCUGAAGCUUUGUGUUAGUAUUACAGGAUCAAAAUAUGACUCUAGUGAGGAAUAAAAUGGAAGGUCACAGGCUGUUUAGUUUGACUACUGAGCAAAAUGACAGAAGCAAAUGAACAAGUAUUAUGUGUGUUUCUUGAUAGUGCAUUUUAAUUCUCCAUCACAUAAGAUAAACUGAUGAAGCAUGAAUUGCAUGCCUUGGAGUGUGGCUUAAACCCAGUCUUGCUCCAGAUGGGAAUGUGCAUUGAUUUCAGUGUGAGCUCCACACCAGGGAAGGUGCCUACCACAGUAACUAACUGUACCAGGUUCUAAUUACGGCCUUCUGAUAGCACUGAAUCUCAUGCAGGGCUGUGGCAGGGUUGGGCACAGAAACCCCUUCCUGAGUCUUCCUGACUCCUGGCAGUCUUCCUGAGCCAGACUAAAAUAGCUUAUUGCACAUAAAGGUCUAACCCAGUGCCGAGUAAAACUGACAGGGAGGGCUUUUGGGUCAGACCUUCAAAGGCAAUCUUCCCUCAUUUUUUAUGUCUCAUUUUGGAUCCAUUUUCUUAUAGGAACAGCUGUCAGAUCAUAUACACUGUGCAAACUUUCCCACCAGGCUGCAAAGAGCUGCAUAUUCUCCCCAUUUUCUGAAGGAUAAACUGCUGUUUAAAGUGCACAAGGUUGUAUUUUCAAUUCAUAACGUGAUGGGAAAAGGUGAAAGGAAUAUACAAAAAACCAAUGGUAACGACAUUGUCUGUGUUGUAAUUUUAUUUGAAUGUAAACCAAG